GUUUAGUCCCAUAGAAGUGAAAAUCCUUAUAAGCCAGUGUUUGGCUUAUAAGAUUGAAGCGGACAGCGGGAGUAAAG
rnacentral:sRNA from 1 species